CAAACGGUUUUGCGGCAAACCACAUCCCUACCCAACCCAAGCAGAUAGCAUUCCGUCGAACACCUCACCCCCGCUCCAAUGGCAGCCACCACCACCGCAUCGCUCUCCACCCUCUCUCCCGCGGCCGGCAGGCGGUUCGCCCUCUCCUCCACGUCCCUCUCAUUCUCCUCCCACCGCCUCACCACCACCCCCGCCGUCCUCCGCCUCCGCGCCGCCGCAGCCUCGAGGACGCCGACAAGGAGGCGGGCGUCGUCCCGCAUCGCGGCGACUAUCGCGGUGGGCGACAAGCUCCCCGACGCGACGCUCUCCUACUUCGACCCGGCCGACGGGGAGCUGAAGACGGUGACGGUCUCGGACCUGACCGCGGGGAAGAAGGCCAUCCUCUUCGCGGUGCCCGGCGCAUUCACGCCGACGUGCUCGCAGAAGCACCUCCCGGGGUUCGCGGAGAAGGCCGGCGAGCUGAGGGCGAAGGGUGUGGAGACGUUGGCGUGCGUGUCGGUGAACGACGCGUUCGUGAUGAAGGCGUGGAAGGAGGCGCUGGGGGUCGGGGACGACGUGAUGAUGCUGUCGGAUGGGAACCUGGAGCUGACGCGCGCGCUGGGCGUGGAGAUGGACCUCUCCGACAAGCCGGUCGGGCUCGGGGUGAGGUCGAGGAGGUACGCGCUGCUGGCCGAGGACGGCGUCGUCAAGGUGCUCAACCUCGAGGAGGGCGGCGCCUUCACCAGCAGCAGCGCCGAGGACAUGCUCCAGGCGCUCGGGUGAGCAGGUUGAU
rnacentral:lncRNA from 1 species